CCACUAGGAUGUUAGAGAAAUGUAUAUAUAUUAUGUAGAAUAAUACAGUAUGUAUAUAUAUUAUGUAGAAUAAUACAGUAUAUAUGUAUAUUAUGUAGGCUACUCAUUGUUUUUGUAUUUGUACUCAACAGCUCCAAAAAUGUCAUCAUUAAUGGACUUCAUCUUUGGAUACGCGAUGCUCCUGGAAGAUGGCCUGACCAGCUUUCUUGUAGUAAGACUCAACGAGGUGGUAGACUUCUUUGGCAGAGUGCUGGAACAAGAAGAUAGAAAACCAGGAGAGACUAGGAAGGGAAAGUGACAUCCCCUGCAUUGGCGUCUCUAUAAUGGGUACAGUGUGUGCGGUGCACACGGGCCCCUGAGUCCAGAGGGGGGCCACACCGCACACACUGAACCCAUUUCUCCUAUACUUACCUUUCCGGAGUCCAUCGCUGACUGUGUGUGGGCCCCCUCCUCUCCCGUAGCGCCGCUGCUAGCGCACUGACCA